CGAGUAGGCGGUUUUGCAAGUCAGAUGUGAAAGGCGGGGGCUCAACCCCCGAGCUGCAUUUGAAACUGUAGGACUUGAGUGAUGGAGAGGCAGGCGGAAUUCCCGGUGUAGCGGUGGAAUGCGUAGAGAUCGGGAGGAACACCAGUGGCGAAGGCGGCCUGCUGGACAUUAACUGACGCUGAGGAGCGAAAGCGUGGGGAGCAAACA
rnacentral:rRNA from 1 species